CCUACGGGUGGCAGCAGUCGAGAAUCAUUCACAAUGGGGGAAACUCUGAUGGUGCGACGCCGCGUGCGGGAAUGAAGGUCUUCGGAUUGUAAACCGCUGUCAUGCGAGAGCAAACUCAAAAGAUAGUACCACAAGAGGAAGAGCCGGCUAACUCUGUGCCGGCAGCCGCGGUAAAACAGAGGUCUCAAGCGUUGUUCGGAAUCACUGGGCGUAAAGCGUUCGUAGGCUGUUUCGUAAGUCGUGUGUGAAAGGCGCGGGCUCAACCCGCGGACGGCACAUGAUACUGGGAGGCUAGAGUAAUGUAGGGGGAACCGGAAUGCUCGGUGUAGCAGUGAAAUGCGUAGAGAUCGAGAGGAACACUCGUGGCGAAGGCGGGUUCCUGGACAUUAACUGACGCUGAGGCACGAAGGCCAGGGGAGCGAAAGGGAUUAGAUACCCCAGUAGUC
rnacentral:rRNA from 1 species